rnacentral:rRNA from 1 species
AGUGAACGCUGGCGGUAGGCCUAACACAUGCAAGUCGAACGGCAGCACAGGAGAGCUUGCUCUCUGGGUGGCGAGUGGCGGACGGGUGAGGAAUACAUCGGAAUCUGCCCAGUCGUGGGGGAUAACGUAGGGAAACUUACGCUAAUACCGCAUACGACCUUCGGGUGAAAGAGGGGGAUCGCAAGACCUCUCGCGAUUGGAUGAGCCGAUGUCGGAUUAGCUAGUUGGCGGGGUAAUGGCCCACCAAGGCGACGAUCCGUAGCUGGUCUGAGAGGAUGAUCAGCCACACUGGAACUGAGACACGGUCCAGACUCCUACGGGAGGCAGCAGUGGGGAAUAUUGGACAAUGGGCGCAAGCCUGAUCCAGCCAUACCGCGUGGGUGAAGAAGGCCUUCGGGUUGUAAAGCCCUUUUGUUGGGAAAGAAAUCUUUCAGGCUAAUGCCCUGGGAGGAUGACGGUACCCAAAGAAUAAGCACCGGCUAACUUCGUG